CAACAGGGAUUGCCUCAGUAACGGCGAGUGAAGCGGCAACAGCUCAAAUUUGAAAUCUGGCCCCAGGCCCGAGUUGUAAUUUGCAGAGGAUGCUUUUGGCGCGGUGCCUUCCGAGUUCCCUGGAACGGGACGCCAUAGAGGGUGAGAGCCCCGUCUGGUUGGACACCAAGCCUCUGUAAAGCUCCUUCGACGAGUCGAGUAGUUUGGGAAUGCUGCUCAAAAUGGGAGGUAUAUGUCUUCUAAAGCUAAAUACCGGCCAGAGACCGAUAGCGCACAAGUAGAGUGAUCGAAAGAUGAAAAGCACUUUGAAAAGAGAGUUAAAUAGCACGUGAAAUUGUUAAAAGGGAAGCGUUUAUGACCAGACUUGGGCCGGUUAAUCAUCCAGCGUUCUCGCUGGUGCACUUUGCCGGUCCAGGCCAGCAUCAGUUCGUCGCGGGGGAUAAAGGCGUCGGGAAUGUGGCUCCUCGGAGUGUUAUAGCCCUUCGCGCAAUACCCUGCGGUGGACUGAGGUUCGCGCUCUGCAAGGAUGCUGGCGUAAUGGUCAUCAACGACCCGUCUUGAAACACGGACCAAGGAGUCGUCUUCGUAUGCGAGUGUUCGGGUGUAAAACCCCUACGCGUAAUGAAAGUGAACGCAGGUGAGAGCUUCGGCGCAUCAUCGACCGAUCCUGAUGUUCUCGGAUGGAUUUGAGUAAGAGCAUACGGGGCCGGACCCGAAAGAAGGUGAACUAUGCCUGUAUAGGGUGAAGCCAGAGGAAACUCUGGUGGAGGCUCGCAGCGGUUCUGACGUGCAAAUCGAUCGUCAAAUAUGGGCAUGGGGCGAAAGACUAAUCGGA
rnacentral:rRNA from 1 species